AAUGAACGCUGGCGGCGUGCCUAAUACAUGCAAGUCGAGCGAACAGACGAGGAGCUUUCUCCUCUGGCUUUAGCAGCGGACGGGUGAGUACCACGUGGAUAACCUACCUAUAAGACUGGGAUAACUUCGGGAAACCGGAGCUAAUACCGGAUGAUAUAUCGCACCUCGUGGUGCAAGAGUGAAAGACGGUAGUUUUGUCGCUUAUAGAUGGGUCCGCGUUGCAUUAGCUAGUUGGUAAGGUAAAAGCUUACCAAGGCGACGAUCCAUAGCUGGUCUGAGAGGAUGAUCAGCCACACUGGGACUGAGACACGGCCCAGACUCCUACGGGAGGCAGCAGUGGGGAAUAUUGGACAAUGGGCGAAAGCCUGAUCCAGCAAUGCCGCGUGAGUGAUGAAGGCCUUAGGGUUGUAAAGCUCUUUUACCCGGGAUGAUAAUGACAGUACCGGGAGAAUAAGCUCCGGCUAACUCCGUG
rnacentral:rRNA from 1 species